UACGGGGGGAGCAAGCGUUGUUCGGAUUUACUGGGCGUAAAGAGCGCGCAGGCGGUCGUUCAAGUCGCGUGUGAAAGCCCCCGGCUCAACUGGGGAGGGUCACGCGAUACUGAUCGACUGGAAGGCAGGAGAGGGUAGUGGAAUUCCCGGUGUAGCGGUGAAAUGCGCAGAUAUCGGGAGGAACACCAAUGGCGAAGGCAGCUCGCUGGGACGGUACUGACGCUGAGACGCGAAAGCGUGGGGAGCAAACAGG
rnacentral:rRNA from 1 species